GACGAACGCUGGCGGCGUGCUUAACACAUGCAAGUCGAACGGAAAGGCCCUGCUUUUGUGGGGUGCUCGAUUGGCGAACGGGUGAGUAACACGUGAGUAACCUGCCCUUGACUUUGGGAUAACUUCAGGAAACUGGGGCUCAUACCGGAUAGGAGCUCCUGCUGCAUGGUGGGGGUUGGAAAGUUUCGGCGGUUGGGGAUGGACUCGCGGCUUAUCAGCUUGUUGGUGAGGUAGUGGCUUACCAAGGCUUUGACGGGUAGCCGGCCUGAGAGGGUGACCGGCCACAUUGGGACUGAGAUACGGCCCAGACUCCUACGGGAGGCAGCAGUGGGGAAUAUUGCACAAUGGGCGGAAGCCUGAUGCAGCAACGCCGCGUGCGGGAUGACGGCCUUCGGGUUGUAAACCGCUUUCGCCUGUGACGAAGCGUGAGUGACGGUAAUGGGUAAAGAAGCAACGGCUAACUACGUG
rnacentral:rRNA from 1 species